rnacentral:rRNA from 1 species
GACGAACGCUGGCGGCGUGCUUAACACAUGCAAGUCGAACGCUGAAGCUCAGCUUGCUGGGUGGAUGAGUGGCGAACGGGUGAGUAACACGUGAGUAACCUGCCCUCUUCUUGGGAUAACGGCCCGGAACGGGUGCUAAUUCCGGAUAUUUCCUGGUUUCCGGCUUGGGGGUUGUUGGAAGGUUUUUUUUUGGUGGGGGAUGGGCUCGCGGCCUAUCAGUUUGUGGGUGGGGUGAUGGCCUACCAAGGCUUUGACGGGUAGCCGGCCUGAGAGGGUGACCGGUCACAUUGGGACUGAGAUACGGCCCAGACUCCUACGGGAGGCAGCAGUGGGGAAUAUUGCACAAUGGGCGAAAGCCUGAUGCAGCGACGCCGCGUGAGGGAUGGAGGCCUUCGGGUUGUAAACCUCUUUCGCUCAUGGUCAAGCCGCAGCUUUGGGUUGUGGUGAGGGUAGUGGGUAAAGAAGCGCCGGCUAACUACGUG